rnacentral:rRNA from 1 species
AUACGUAGGUGCCAAGCGUUAUCCGGAUUUACUGGGCGUAAAGGGCGUGUAGGCGGUCUUGCAAGUCAGAAGUGAAAUUCCUGAGCUCAACUCGGGCGCUGCUUCUGAAACUGCAGGACUUGAGUGCUGGAGGGGAUAGCGGAAUUCCUAGUGGAGCGGUAAAAUGCGCAGAUAUUAGGAAGAACACCGGUGGCGAAGGCGGAUAUCAGGGCAGUAACUGACGCUGUGGGGCGAAAGCGUGGGGAGCAAACAGGAUGAGAUCCCCUGGUAGUCCACGCCGUAAACGAUGAAUACUAGGUGUAGGGGGUGUCGACUCCCUCUGUGCCGCAGUUAACACAAUAAGUAUUCCGCCUGGGGAGUACGGCCGCAAGGUUGAAACUCAAAUGAAAUGACGGGG